rnacentral:rRNA from 1 species
AAUGAACGUUGGCGGCGUGGAUUAGGCAUGCAAGUCGCGCGACAAGGAACCUUCGGGUUCUGGAGGAGCGGCAAACGGGGUAGUAAGGCAUCGGAACGUACCCUCUUGUUGGGAAUAGCCGCGGGAAACUGCGAGUAAUGCCCAAUAAUCCCUACGGGGCAAAGGUCCGCCGCAGGAGGAGCGGCCGAUGUGAUACCAGCUAGUUGGUGAGGUAAUGGCUCACCAAGGCUUAGACGUCUAGGGGGUGUGAGAGCAUGGCCCCCCACCACUGGGACGUGAGAUACUGCCCACGACACCUACGGGUGGGCUGCAGUCGAG